rnacentral:lncRNA from 1 species
GGGGGCUUAGGCUUCCAAAAGAAAACGAAGAGUAGCUACCCCCCUCUCCAGUUGUCCGAGUCAGUUAGGAACUGGCAGUCGACCUGGUUCUACUGCCAGGACAUAGCUUGUCCGAAUGCUGCGACUGGGUUGCCGCCCUUUAUCCUAGACCGUCCGGCUCCUCCCAGACAACUUGCGCUCUCCAAGUUGGAAAAGAUUCAGAUCCAGCCUCUGGUCGACGCGCUGAUAACCGUCGUCUGCAA